GCCUCAGGACAGGAGCUGUGUGCUCUAGUGGAGGAUCCACACUGGAGACUGGACACUGUCAGGUUGGAUCCUGCUGGAGUCCAAAUGUUGAAACCAGGUCCAUGGAGAUGUAAGUGUGAUUUGAUUAGAUUGAUUCAAACCAACCUGAACCCAAACUGGGACCUGGUUCCACAUUCUAAACACUGCAUAAAAAGAGGUGUAUCUGUACCAGGAUAUUCCAGUGUACUCCCCUGAUUUCUGGAAGUAUUUGCCAGUUCCAUUGUCCAUAUACAUCUGAUUCCACCAAAGUAGGAGACGCCUGGAUUGAUACCAUAUGCGUACAUACGCCCUCCAGGUAGACUUCCAGGGAGCAGCCUUUUGUUGCCAUGGCAGAUAAUCCCCUCACAUUCCAGAGACAUUCACACUUCUGCUAGUAUUUUGCUGUCAUCCAUCUCAACACUGAUUGGCUGUUUAUAAAAAAAAAAAAAAAAAACAAACAAACCUCAAAACCCAGUUCCUCCCCAGUUUUAUGCAUAUUUAUACAUUAAUUCAUAUUUUUAAUGUUUUGCAUUUCACCUUUAAUUCUUUUCCCCUAAUCCAAGCUCAUUGCUUUAUUGCUUGGUUAUUCAGUGUUUUACUGCUUGGUUAUUGUUGAACCCUAUACCCCCCCCCCCCCCCCUAAAAAAAAAAGAAAAAAAAAGAAAAACAAAACAGAACUGAACUUACACUUUUUUAUUAGGCUAUUUAUUUAAAUGAAGGCAAACAGUAAUAAAAUAUGAGACAAAUAUAAAAUAAAGUGGUAACAAAUAAAAAAAAUGACAAAUGCAAUUACAAACACCACUUUUGCAAAUCCACCACUGUGCAAUUCACCAAAAUUCACCAAUGUGCAAGUUACAAGUAAACAUGAAAACACUAGUAGGCCUCUUAACUUGGUCCAUUUUCUUCUGCCAGAUUUCACUUUCCUCAAGGGUUUGGAUCAUCCUUGUCCUGGACUCCAGCAGCUGCAAAAACAAAACACGUUAACCUCUAAUAAAACACCCAAAGAUGACCCAAAGUUAGCACAAACAUUAGCUUCUACACUUCCUCUUCUUUUUCUCUGCCUGCUUUUAGCUCCAGCUCUGAUGGUGUCCCUCAGAAGCGCUUUAUCCGGCUGUGAAAGUGUCAACUUUCUCCGUAGAGUCUCAUAAUAUGUUUUGCAAUGAAGCUGAAUAAAUACAAAAAAAGAUUUCUGUGAACUUACUCUGGAUCCAAACACAGCAAACAGAAAACUGAAACUGUCUGAAAACAACAAGAAGGUGGAACGAGUGGAGGAGGUUCAGUCAUAUCCUGAUCAUCAGGACAGAUUUGACUUCUGGGAACAGGUGAUGAGUUCAACUGGUCUGACUGGUCGCUGUUACUGGGAGGUCCAGUGGAGUGGAUGGGUUUGGAUAUCAGUGACUUACAGAGGAAUCAGAAGGAAAGGAGACAGUUUAGACUGUGUGUUUGGACUCAAUGAUCAGUCCUGGAGUCUGAGCUGUGGUAGAGGUAGAUACAGUGUCAGGCAUAAAGGCAAAUACACAUUCCUCCCUCAGUCCUCCUCCUCCUCCUCCUCCUCCUCCUCCCUCCCCUCUGGUACAGUCUCAGUGUAUGUGGACUGUCCUGCUGGAUCUGUGUCCUUCUACACAGUCUGCUCUGACAAACUGAUCCACCUGCACACCUUCAAAACCACAUUCACUGAACCACUGUUUGGAGGAUUUAGACUGUGGCCAGGAUCCACAGUGUAUUUGUGUGGUGUGUAGUUGUGUGUGUUUGUGUAGUUGUGUUGUUUGUCUGUGUAGUUGUGUUGUGUGUUUGUGUAGUUGUGUUUGUGUGUAGUUGUGUUGUGUGUUUGUGUGUAGUUGUGU